GAUGAAGAACGUAGCGAAAUGCGAUAACUAAUGUGAAUUGCAGAAUUCAGUGAAUCAUCGAGUCUUUGAACGCACAUUGCGCCCCCUGGUAUUCCGGGGGGCAUGCCUGUCCGAGCGUCAUUGCUGCCCUCAAGCACGGCUUGUGUGUUGGGCUCCGUCCCCCCGGGGACGGGUCCGAAAGGCAGCGGCGGCACCGAGUCCGGUCCUCGAGCGUACGGGGCUUUGUCACCCGCUCUGUAGGCCCGGCCGGCGCCAGCCGACAACCAAUCAUCCUUUUUUCAGGUUGACCUCGGAUCAGGUAGGGAUACCCGCUGAACUUAAGCAUAUCAAUAAGCGGAGGA
rnacentral:misc_RNA from 1 species